GCCAGAGGGUGCAAACGUUGUUCGGAAUUACUGGGCGUAAAGCGCGUGUAGGCGGCUAAGUGUGUCGGGCGUGAAAUCCCACGGCUCAACCGUGGAAGUGCACCCGAAACUACGUAGCUAGAGUCCUGGAGAGGAAGGUGGAAUGCUUGGUGUAGAGGUGAAAUUCGUAGAUAUCUGGAGGAACACCGGUGGCGAAGGCGGCAUCCUGGACCAACACUGACGCUGAGGAGCGAAAGCCAGGGGAGCAAACGGG
rnacentral:rRNA from 1 species